AAACCCGUGAGGGAAUGUCUGAAGAAAGCCCGAGCGCAAAGGUGUGAGCCGACGGACAGACAAAAUCGCCGGGAGCGAUUUUGAACAGCCGCAGGC
rfam:Thiorhodospira sibirica ATCC 700588 ctg263, whole genome shotgun sequence.